UCCGGCUUGACGCCGGCAGUCUCCCGAGAGUCCUCAGCUCUACCUGUUAGUAACACGGGACAAGGGUUGCGCUCGUUGCGGGACUUAACCCAACAUCUCACGACACGAGCUGACGACAACCAUGCACCACCUGUGAACCGGCCCCAAAGGGGAAACCACAUUUCUGCGGCGAUCCGGCCCAUGUCAAGCCUUGGUAAGGUUCUUCGCGUUGCAUCGAAUUAAUCCGCAUGCUCCGCCGCUUGUGCGGGCCCCCGUCAAUUCUUUUGAGUUUUAGCCUUGCGGCCGUACUCCCCAGGCGGAACACUUAUCGCGUUGGCUUCGGCACAGACAGAUUCGACUCCGCCCACACCUAGUGUUCAUCGUUUACGGCGUGGACUAC
rnacentral:misc_RNA from 1 species